UACGUAGGGUGCAAGCGUUGUCCGGAAUUAUUGGGCGUAAAGAGCUCGUAGGCGGUUUGUCGCGUCUGCCGUGAAAGUCCGGGGCUCAACUCCGGAUCUGCGGUGGGUACGGGCAGACUAGAGUGAUGUAGGGGAGACUGGAAUUCCUGGUGUAGCGGUGAAAUGCGCAGAUAUCAGGAGGAACACCGGUGGCGAAGGCGGGUCUCUGGGCAACAACUGACGCUGAGACGCGAAAGCGUGGGGAGCGAACAGG
rnacentral:rRNA from 1 species